rnacentral:rRNA from 1 species
GACGAACGCUGGCGGCGUGCUUAACACAUGCAAGUCGAACGGAAAGGCCCUGCUUUUGUGGGGUGCUCGAGUGGCGAACGGGUGAUUAACACGUGAGUAACCUGCCCUUGACUUUGGGAUAACUUCAGGAAACUGGGGCUAAUACCGGAUAGGAGCUCCUGCUGCAUGGUGGGGGUUGGAAAGUUUCGGCGGUUGGGGCUGGACUCGCGGCUUAUCAGCUUGUUGGUGGGGUAGUGGCUUACCAAGGCUUUGACGGGUAGCCGGCCUGGGAGGGUGACCGGCCACAAUGGGACUGAGAGACGGCGCAGACUGCUAUGGGAGGCAGCAGUGGGGAAUAUUGCACAGUGGGCGCAAGCCUGAGGCAGCAGCGCCGCGGGCGGGAUGAGGGCCUGCGGGUUGUAAACCGCUUUCGCCUGUGACGAAGCGUGAGUGACGGUAAUGGGUAAAUAAGCACCGGCUAACUACGUG